CACAGUGCCCAAGUGGUCUCUUUAAGUGAGCUGCCAUCAGUGUUGAUUUGGAUCAACAAGGACUAUCAGGAAAUCAGGCCGUGCCUCAUUGAGGGACUCCAUGUCGGGCAGAGUUAAUCCCAGCUCCAUAUUUGACUGUGUCUCCAGUAAAAGGCUUGUAGAAAGUGUUUUCAGUCCCAGGAUGCCACCCAGAGGAUUUAAGAAGUCACUACAUAGGAAGGGAACUGAUAACAUCAUGGCAUCUCAUAGCAGGAAUCCCUCUACAACAUUCCCAACAAGCAGCAUCCAAUGAAGCAAUCCAAGGUUCUUCAACAGAUCCUUUUAUGUGGUGGUAUAUAUAGUAAAUGUUUGACAACCGGCUUCUUGUGGGGUUGAGGAAAGUACUCAAAACAUACUUUCAAAUUUAAUCUCCAUUAUGAACAGAUUCAACAUCAUCUUAAGUCUAGGUAUAUUCAGCAAAAAAGUAAAGCAAGCUUUGAUGCAAAGUCUUUGCCCAUUCUCAAGGUGUCAAUGCCAACAAUGAAAAUUUAACAACCAGCUCCCAAGAGUUGGCAACACACUGCUGCAUAUGUGAUGUGGUUUCAAGUCCCUCACUUUCCCAGUCGCUAGACAUUACAGUUUGUUAAGACAGAGAACAAUUUUCCUUGUUUUUUCUUUCCAUCCUUCAUUUUUCCUUCCUUAUUUUUUGCCUUCUUUCUGUCUUUCCUUUAUUUUGAACACUAGGUUUCUCUGCCCCAUGCACACAUGUUUUUAGGCUCCCAUCUCACACUAUUAGAUAAUAGAUUUGAUUAAAGCUUGCAGGCUACCAAAAAAAAACCCAAGUCUUUUCAUAGGAACUGCUUUCAUGUCAAGUCCCCACUAUCCUGCAUUCAAUUCAUUUUCUUGCAAGAAGUAUUUAUUUGUUGUUUUUUUUUUUUUAAUUUUUAAACCCUUACCUUCCAUCUUGGAAUCAAUAUUGUGUAUUGGUUCAAAGGCAGAAGAGUGGUAAGGGCUAGGCAAUGGGGGUUAAGUGACUUGCCCAGGGUCAUACAGCUAGGAAGUGUCUGAGGCCAGAUUUGAACCCAGGACCUCCCGUCUCUAGGCCUGGCUCUCAAUCCACUGAGCUACCCAGCUGCCCCCACAAGAAGUAUUUAUUAAACACCCACUGUAUAAUAUGCAAGAUAAACAAGUAAAUACAAAGUAAUAAGGAGAUGGAGAAAAAGCUUGAUCAACUGAGAUUAGGAAAGACUUCUUGUUGUAUAUAAGCUAGAAAGGAGGGAUUCCAAGAGGCAAGGUGAAGGAGAGAGGGAGUGUUCUGAAUGUGAAAAAGAUAAAAGGUCAUGUAUGGAGAAUAUAAAAUAGGACAGUUUGGCUGGAGCAUAGAGUACAUGAGGGAAACUAAUGUGAACCAUGUCUGAAAGAAAAUCUAGAGGCAAACUGAAGAUCUUGAAUGCUAAUCAGAGGAGUUCAUAUUUAUUAUAGAUGUAAUAGAAAAGCAACUGAAGCUUCUUGAGGAAGAAAAGGAAGGAAAGAAGGAUCAAAGGAAGAGAUGAAAGGAGGGAGGGGAGAUAGGGAAGAGAGGGAGGAAGGAAGGAUGGGAGGAACAAAGGAAGUAACAAAGGA